rnacentral:lncRNA from 1 species
CAACAGAGCUGCUCAAGGCGGGAACUCUGAGCUAAGCAGUGGAGGUUUCUCUGGAUCUGGAGAGAAGAGUGACCUUGGAGCCAAUAAUGAGCCAUCCUGACUACAGAAUGAACCUCCGGCCCCUGGGGACCCCCAGAGGUGUGUCUGCUGUGGCUGGUCCACAUGACAUUGGUGCUUCGCCAGGUGACAAAAAGUCAAAGAACAGGUCCACACGAGGGAAGAAAAAGAGCAUAUUUGAAACUUACAUGUCCAAGGAGGAUGUUUCGGAAGGCUUGAAGAGAGGAACACUCAUCCAGGU